AUUCUUGCACGGGAGCAUUAUCCAUAACUGUGAAGUUACGACUGAGUUUGGAUUAUUGCUGAUUGAAAACUAAUUCCAAUCGGCUCUUGACGCCCUACUGGGGCGGCAAGGAAUUUUUGGACCCAUUACUUAAUA
rnacentral:snRNA from 23 species